CCUACGGGAGGCAGCAGUGGGGAAUAUUGCACAAUGGGCGAAAGCCUGAUGCAGCAACGCCGCGUGAAGGAAGAAGGUUUUCUGCUCGUAAACUUCUAUCAACAGGGACGAAAGACAUGACGGUCCCCGACUACGCAUCGGCUACCUCCGUGCCAGCAGCCGCGGUCAUACGGGGGAUGCAAGCGUUAUCCGGAUUUAUUGGGUUUAAAGGGUGCGUAGGCUGUGAGGUAAGUCAGCGGUGAAAUGCUCCCGCUCAACGGGGUGAAGUGCCAUUGAUACUGCCUUGCUGGAAUGCGGAUGACGUGGGAGGAAUGUGUGGUGUAGCGGUGAAAUGCAUAGAUAUCACACAGAACACCGAUUGCGAAGGCAUCUCACG
rnacentral:rRNA from 1 species